GAAGCAGAAAGGGAGUUCCCUUCCGCCUCCCUAAUGCCAUGGAAUGGGGAAGGGUACAACUCUAGGAUCAGACCCAAAGGGAACUGUUGUGAAUCUUGAUUUUGUGACUUCUUGGCUAUUGGAUUUGGGCCAAUUAUUUGUCAUCUCUGUACCUUAAUUUACUCAUCUAUGAAAGAAGGACUAAAAAUACUUAUCAUAGGAGAAGACAAUAUGUAAGCCACUUGGCAAUGUGCCUGGGACCUAGUGAGCGAUUCUUCUCACUUAUUAUUGUUUUCGUCAUCAUCGACAUCAUCGUCACCAUUACUUUUCAUUGUCUUUGGAAAUUUGGACAGAGACCACAGGCAGAUGCGGUGCCGUAUUCCCACAGGGCUGGAGCAGCGGGUGUGUUUUUCUGUGAUAGCAGCGCUUCCCGGAACCAGCAGGGCAGGAUGACACGGCAGUUAGGAGCUUCUCUGGGGCCUUCAGGCAGACGGUCUGGGCUGUGUCCUGGCUGUGCCUUUUCCCAGCCCUACCUGCAGUCCUACACAUCUUCUCCACCUCCAGCGGCUUCUCCUUCUCACAUCCACCCUCUGCGAAGGCAUAAAUAGUAGCAACUCCCUUCUGGAUUCUAUGAGGUGAUAAUUACAUGAGAUGGCAGAGCCUGGAGCACGGGAGCUCCUCAGUGACUCAGUCAUGUUCAUUCCAAGGAGUUCAGGGUCCUUGCCGUCUGCAAACCUUUCCCCUUAUUUUCAAGAUCCUUGAGUCUGACUGUCAAGCAGUAACAUUCCAGCCUCAACUACAACAAUACUUGUAGAUGAAUGGAGCUUCCACUGGACCCCAUGUCACUGGUGAGGGACUUCAGGCAGAGAGAAAGCUCAUCCUUUGCCCAAGGUCACACCGCUGGUACUUGGAAUUAAAUUUUUAACCUAUCUUUCCUUGGACACAAUUCAACCAACAGCCCAGCGAUGGGCUGGGGCCGAGUGGCGUUGACUCCAUCAGCCUGGACAUUGACACAUGGCUCUUCCCAGCUACCAAUCUAGCCAUGCUCCUCACUCAAAUUACCCAACGACCCUUCGAGCCCGAGAGAGGUCAUCCAGCUGAGAACUGUUACGGUAAUCUACAAUUGGGGGUCUUCACAUUUUAUAUCCAUGAGUUUAAAAUAAAACCUCAAUGACCACCACAAUGAAAAA
ensembl:lncRNA LINC02368 long intergenic non-protein coding RNA 2368